CCUACGGGUGGCAGCAGUGAGGAAUAUUGGUCAAUGGACGAGAGCCUGAACCAGCCAAGUCGCGUGAAGGAUGACUGCUCUAUGGGUUGUAAACCUCUUUUAUAAAGGAAUAAAACGAGGCACGUGUCCCUUUUUGCAUGUACUUUAUGAAUAAGGAUCGGCUAACUCCGUGCCAGCAGCCGCGGUAAUACGGAGGAUCCGAGCGUUAUCCGGAUUUAUUGGGUUUAAAGGGAGCGUAGAUGGCCUGUUAAGUCAGUUGUGAAAGUCUGCGGCUCAACCGUAGAAUUGCCGUUGAUACUGGCAGUCUUGAGUACGGUUGAGGUAGGCGGAAUUCGUGGUGUAGCGGUGAAAUGCUUAGAUAUCACGAAGAACCCCGAUUGCGAAGGCAGCUUACUAAGCUGUGACUGACAUUGAUGCACGAAAGUGUGGGUAUCAAACAGGAUUAGAUACCCGUGUAGUC
rnacentral:rRNA from 1 species